GGGAGCUUGGGGCAAACCUGGUUAUGGUUUGUGAAUUGGGGAGUGGCCGUGACCCUGCUGGAGUCCGGGGGGGACCUCCAGCCCCCCGGGGGGUCCCUGCGCCUCCUCUGCCGGGGGUCCGGCUUCAGUUUCGGCAGUUUCUCCAUGUACUGGAUCCGCCAGAGACCCGGGCAGGGGCUGGAGUGGCUCGCGGGGAUCAGGUACGAUGGUGCUUACACCUGGUACGCGCCAUCGGUGAAGGGCCGGGUGACGAUCUCCAGGGACAACGGGCAGAGCUCAGUGACGCUGACCAUGAACAGCCUCAAGGACGAGGAUUCCGGAUCCUAUUUCUGUGCCAAAAACGCCUAUUCUCGUGCUGGUUGGGAGAAUGUUGCCUAUAGUUUUGACCCCGUCCCCGUUGCCGUGUCCCCAGCUGUCCCCGAGUCCCAGACCCUGCCACCAAAGCUGAGCCCUUGA